GUGCUUGCUUCAGUUAGCACAUACACUAAAAUUGGAACGAUAAAGAAAAGAUUAGCAUGGCUCUUUCACAAGGAUGACACACAAAUUUGUGAAGUGUUCCACAUUUUU
rnacentral:snRNA from 1 species